UGCGAAAACAGAGACAGUCUUAAGGGAAAAGCAUGCAGUGGGAACGAUAGAUAGGGAUAUAUAUGCGUCAGUUUGGCUCACCAGUUGUGCUGGGAGCGGCGCCUGGGGCAGAGAUGAUCGAUUGUUACCACUUACAGAUCAAACUCUGCUGACUUGGCGGGCUCUGUGUGUUGAAAAACAUAGACGUGUCCGACGACGGCUACGAACACUAAUUUUGCGUUUUUUUUCUCUCAUGCUAUCUCUUUCUUCGCAGCGACACCAUAAAAGGGGCGGCUGCUUCCUGGCAGUUUUUUACUAGCCCCAUUUUGGCUACCAAAGGCCAAUUUGUAGAGAAACAUAUGUGGAUUUCUCUUUAUAAAUUGAAAUUUACACAUAUACAUAUAUACAUACCCAUUACAGUAAACAUGAAAUUUCUUCCCCACAAUGACUAUGGUUGAUGAGAUGACGCUAAUUGUCGUCAACGCUGAGAAGAUGGAGACGGGACUACCGUAUAUGAGCGGGCGAGCGCUAUGGCCAAAUUCAUGCGCUUAUGGGAUAUAAGGGUUCUCCAGUGGAGCGCACAGUGGAAAUCAGCAUUAUGUCGCGCUCCUGGGUUAUAUAGAUGAAGAUAAAUAUACAUUACAUACU